CAUUAUGUGACAGGUUUUCAGGUGAGAUGAACGAGUUUUAAAACAAAACAGUCUGCGGUUUUAAGAAGCGAUUUCUAGGAUGUAUGUGUGUUUCAGGAGCCAUCUGCACCUUGGAAGCAUACAAUGGAAGGAUGAUGGAAUAUACGAAGUUGUUACAGGAAGUGACUUUGUCAUUCCUAAAGUUGCAUUUUGAGACAACUCUUCAAAGUAAUACAUAAAUGACCGUGGAAGUAAUUUUACAAAGGUCACUAAGAAAUUGAAAGGAAAAGGAGUGGACUUGGACAACAAUCGGUUUUUGAUUCUUCAGGGUGAAGUCGAGCAAAUUUCUCUAAUGAAGCUAAAGAUCUGUAUUUUCAGCAUUAUUGUAAGUGUAAUUGUAAUUGAUUAAAUGAAGGAUUAUAAUUGAUUGUAAUUGAAUGAA